rnacentral:rRNA from 1 species
GACGAACGCUGGCGGCGCGCUUAACACAUGCAAGUCGAACGGAAAGGCCUGCUUUCCCUUGUGGAUUGCGGGUACUCGAGUGGCGAACGGGUGAGUAACACGUGAGUUAUCUGCCCCCAACUUGGGUAUAAGCCUGGGAAACUGGGUCUAAUUCCCGAUAGGACUGCAGGGUGGUGCCUGUGGUGGAAAACGAUUUUCUAGUGGUUGGGGAUGAGCUCGCGGCCUAUCAGCUUGUUGGUGGGGUAAUGGCCUACCAAGGCGGCGACGGGUAGCCGGCCUGGGAGGGUGGACGGCCACAUUGGGACUGAGAUACGGCCCAGACGCCUACGGGAGGCAGCAGUGGGGAAGAUGGCACAAUGGGCGGAAGCCUGAUGCAGCGACGCCGCGUGGGGGAUGACGGCCUUCGGGUUGUAAACUCCUUUCGACCGCGAGGAAGCCACCUGGUUGGAAGGGUGGUGACGGUAGUGGUAGAAGAAGCACCGGCUAACUACGUG